GACGAACGCUGGCGGCGUGCUUAACACAUGCAAGUCGAGCGGUAAGGCCCUUUCGGGGGUACGACGAGCGGCGAACGGGUGAGUAACACGUGGGUGACCUGCCCUUAGCUCUGGGAUAAGCCUGGGAAACUGGGUCUAAUACCGGAUAUGACUCCAUGAUGCAUGUUGUGGGGUGGAAAGCCUUGUGCGGCUAGGGAUGGGCCCGCGGCCUAUCAGCUUGUUGGUGGGGUGANGGCCGUACCAAGGCGACGACGGGUAGCCGGCCUGAGAGGGCGACCGGCCACACUGGGACUGAGACACGGCCCAGACUCCUACGGGAGGCAGCAGUGGGGAAUCUUGCGCAACGGGCGAAAGCCUGACGCAGCGACGCCGCGUGAGGGAUGACGGCCUGGUUGUAACCGU
rnacentral:rRNA from 1 species